rnacentral:rRNA from 1 species
CCUACGGGAGACAGCAGUGAGGAAUAUUGGUCAAUGGGCGCAAGCCUGAACCAGCCAAGUCGCGUGAGGGAUGACGGUCCUAUGUAUUGUAAACCUCUUUUGUCGGGGAGCAAGGCCCGCCACGUGUGGCGGGAACGAGAGUACCCUAAGAAAAAGCAUCGGUAAACUUCGUGCCAGCGGCCGCGGUAAUCGGGGGGAUGCGAGCGUUACCCGGAUUUAUUGGGGUUGAAGGGUGCGUAGGCGGAAGGUUAAGUCAGCGGUAAAAUCUCGUUGCUCAACACCGGACUGCCGUUGAAACUGGUCUUCUUGAGUGAGCGAGAGGUAUGCGGAAUGCGUGGUGUAGCGGUGAAAUGCAUAGAUAUCACGCAGAACUCCGAUUGCGAAGGCAGCAUACCGGCGCUCAACUGACGCUGAGGCACGAAAGCGUGGGGAUCGAACAGGAUUAGAUACCCUUGUAGUC